UACCAUUGGUGAAAAUAUUCCAACCCAGCCAAAACAGGCGGUGAAAAAAUGUACAGCAAAGUCAUGGCGGUUAAUUUAAACUGAAUUUCAUCCCAUAAAUAACGAUUCUCAAAGAAGCUAAACGCAUUUGUUGCUCAGAUUCAAUCUCGAGAAUCUUCGCAACAAAUGCAAAUCUUUGAAAUAUGAUCAAACAGAAGCCUUCGCAUUACUGGCCUGAUUCUAUUGACCUCUGUUUGUUUCAAAUCGGCGAAAUUCCACCAUAGAUUUGAAAGCUUUUUGUUUUCUAAUGAUGUAGAAAACUAAUAAUUAGUUUGCUCCACAAAUUCCAUUCAGAAACCACACCGAUUCCAAUUACAGUGCGCCUCAAAGUAAAUUAUUAUUAUUUCUUCUGUUUUGUCCAUAUAAUUAUUGUCCGAAAAGCGCACCGAGGAAAAAAUCUUGAAAGACUCAAGAAAGGAAUGCUUGUGAAAUAAAAUUAGAAGAUUCAUUGUAUAUUUGAAGAUUUUUGAGGAAACGAUGGCGACAUUUAAGGGUUGAGCCGUCGAGAAAGACAAAUGGCAAUUGUUUGAUUGAAGAUUGGAGCUGCUUUGGCCGUUGGAUGCAUUUUGAAGGUUUGCUUUACAUUUUGCUUCGAAUUCAAUGCGCAGAGAAGCGAGUGGAUCUUUACAUAUUUAAAUUGUCUUUUUAGAUGCCGGCGAGAUCUCGUUUCCUGGACAGAAUGAGCAAUUCUGACGAUGAUUCGUGUUUUGAGGGGCCGAAAGUAUGCAGAACAGGGGAAGCAGAGUCAAAUAAGGGCUCAUUUAUUGCUGCCUACGUUAGUGUUGAGUCUGUAUUGGUACUCUUUUGGCUGACUGCCUCGUUAGUUGUGCUUCCUUUGAUAUUGCCUCCUCUGCCUCCUCCUCCUCUUAUACUUUUGCUAGUUCCAAUUGCCAUACUUGUUGUGCUCCUGGUGUUGGCCCUGAUGCCUUGCAAUGCUAACAAUUCUGUAGCAUCUGCGGUUUGAUAAGCCAUGCAGGAGGUACAUGUUCGAAUCCGGAGAGUAGUAGGCUGUGUAUACCUUUGUGUGUAUGUAAAGUCAAGUGUGCAGAAUGGUCUCAGAUCCAGAUGUUAAUGUUGUCCUGUAAUCUAAGCAAAGUUGGGCGCGAACCGAGCUCAACUUUUCUACCAUUAAAUGAAAAUGUUAAGAUUCAGGUUGCAA